UACCCGCUGAACUUAAGCAUAUCAAUAAGCGGAGGAAAAGAAACCAACAGGGAUUGCCUCAGUAACGGCGAGUGAAGCGGCAACAGCUCAAAUUUGAAAUCUGGCCCUUUCAGGGUCCGAGUUGUAAUUUGCAGAGGAUGCUUCGGGUUCGGCUCCGGUCUAAGUUCCUUGGAACAGGACGUCAUAGAGGGUGAGAAUCCCGUAUGUGACCGGCCACCACGCCCGUGUGAAGCUCCUUCGACGAGUCGAGUUGUUUGGGAAUGCAGCUCAAAAUGGGUGGUAAAUUUCAUCUAAAGCUAAAUAUUGGCCAGAGACCGAUAGCGCACAAGUAGAGUGAUCGAAAGAUGAAAAGCACUUUGGAAAGAGAGUCAAACAGUACGUGAAAUUGUUGAAAGGGAAGCGCUUGCAACCAGACUUGCCCGCGGGUGAUCAGCCGGUAUUCUUACCGGUGCACUCGCCCGUGGUCAGGCCAGCAUCGGUUCGGGCGGCUGGAUAAAGUCCACCGGAAUGUAGCUCCUCUCGGGGAGUGUUAUAGCCGGAGGUGCCAUGCAGCCCGUCCGGACCGAGGACCGCGCUUCGGCUAGGAUGCUGGCGUAAUGGUUGUAAGCGACCCGUCUUGAAACACGGACCA
rnacentral:rRNA from 1 species